CACGUAGGCGGUAAGCUAAGUUGAAAGUGAAAUCCCAAAGCUUAACUUUGGAACUGCUUUCAAAACUAGUUCACUAGAGUUCGAUAGGGGAUAGUGGAAUUUCUAAUGUAGAGAUAGAAUUCGAAAUAUUAGAAGGAACACCAGUGGCGAAGGCGACUAUCUGGAUCGAUACUGACGCUGAGGUGCGAAAGCAUGGGGAGCAAACG
rnacentral:rRNA from 1 species